AUGGUGAUGAGCAAGGAUGAUGCUUCCAUCUUAGGAGGCGAGAGUGAUGUUGUGCCAUCUUUGGCCUUCAUCCACGGCGACGGUGACGAGAUGAUCGAGCAUGGGAUUUUCCCUUCUGUCAUGGACGAGAGUGAUGUUGUGCCAUCUUCGGCCUUCAUCCACGAUGAGAGUGAUGAUGUGCCAUCUUCGGCCUUCAUCCAUGGCGACGACGACGGGACGGUUGAGCAUGGGAUUUUCCCUUCGACCACGGUGACGUAUGAUGACUUGAGUGACUUUAGCCACCAUAUUGAGAUUGAGAGUGACUUCACCAGUAGCCCCAUAUCUCAUGAGUUUCCACAAUUCCCAUGUGAGGAGAGCCACAACCCCCACCAUUUGAGUGAGAUGAGUGACUCCACCAUAUGUGAGUUUGAGUGCACCUACCUUGAGGGAGUGAGUGAACCACCACAUAGAAAGAGUGAGAUAGUUGAUGAGGCAUAUGAGGCCAUUUCUCUUUCUAAUAACUUAACCUCUACCUCUAUUGUGUCUUCCCCUUUGGUGCUAGGUUCCAUAUGUGAUGACGCGCCGAUCCUCGACGACUUCGUCCUCCCUUUGGACAUGACGAUGGCCAUGGUGGACUAUGAUGCACCCCCCACAUGGUUCCAUCAUGAUGAAGAUGACAACCAUUUGGUCUUUACCACCUCACCUACACCACUUGAGAUGAAUGAACAAGGUAACAUAGGUGAAGGUGAUUCUCUAGUCCCACUAGUGGACAUUCUUGAUAUUGAUUGCUUGCAUGAUGUUGAUCCACCUAUUACCAUGCUUCAUGCUAGUAUGAUUUCCCCAUGCGAUGAUUUACCAAUUUAUGAUGAGUUUGACGACUUCCUUGAGGAGUCUAUUAGUUGUGAUGCCAUGUUACAUAGGAUUUCUUGUGAUAAUUCUCUUGGUCACAUCAUGUUUGAUAAUCCGCUUGACUUGUCAUAUGCUAUGAAUGAGAUCACCCAUAUGUCACAUUUGAAAUCUCGUCAUAGUGACUAUGCAUAUGCCAUUAAAAUAAACGCAAUUUGCACAUAUGGCAUAGAUGACAAGCCCAUGGUGAUAGGCAUUUGUUUUUCUUGUGAUGAUAUUGAUAUGCUUCCUUUGCAUCAUUUAUCUACUAUGCCAUGCCAUGACCACCUAGCUUCGGAUAUGCAUUGUUUUGGAUGUUUUUCAUAUUCUCCAUAUGAUGUUUCCACUAUUGCUCAUGAGGAGACCCCCAUAGUUUCCUCAUACAUUUUAGGAGAUUUUGAUUCAUCCUAUCCAUUGCAUGAUCCCACUACUUGUGUGCACCAUAUGCUCCCCAUGAAUAAACAUGCUAUUGAUGUGCCAUAUAUGUGUAUGUUAAAUUUGCAUCCCCAUUGUGUCAUACACAAUAACUAUUCUUUCAUGAUGGAUGACAUGUUCUUAUACCAUGCCUCAAAUUUCUUUGAGCAUUCUUUAUCUUGUGCUAACUCACACAUGCACAUACACAUCAUGAUGGAUGAUGUGUACAUUUACCACGCACACACGUUCUUUCGUUUGUGUCUCUUUUGUGUAGGUACCCAUGAAUACUUGUCAACCUCACAAUCCCAUGAGUUGACAAAACGAGCUCUAGAGAGCAAUGAUGACUUGGGAUCCCAUGGAUUUCCUUUCCCACCGCUCUCUUCGCGCAUUUCUUCUACAUGGCCCUCACAUGGCUAUGGGUUAUAUACCACUUCUCAAUUUAUGCCCAUAUUUCCAUGUUCACUAUGCUUGAUAUGA
rnacentral:rRNA from 1 species